rnacentral:rRNA from 1 species
UACGUAGGGUGCAAGCGUUAAUCGGAAUUACUGGGCGUAAAGCGUGCGCAGGCGGUUGUGCAAGACAGAUGUGAAAUCCCCGGGCUCAACCUGGGAAUUGCAUUUGUGACUGCACGGCUAGAGUGUGUCAGAGGGGGGUAGAAUUCCACGUGUAGCAGCGAAAUGCGUAGAGAUGUGGAGGAAUACCGAUGGCGAAGGCAGCCCCCUGGGAUAACACUGACGCUCAUGCACGAAAGCGUGGGGAGCAAACAGG